UCAGCCUGGAGAGGACCACCCUGCUGGAAGGGUGUCCUGGGAAUGAAGUCCACGUAGGUGAGAACACACACCAGGGAUAUGUAGCUGGAUGGACUCAGCAGCCCUUGGGGAAUAAAGCCAGCUCAACUCAGCUGUACUUCUCACCACGUGGCAAAGGAUGGACCAAAGGCUGGGAGCAACUGGGAGUGUCUGGGACUGUGCCCCAAGGAAGCCACACAAACUGUGUAGCCAGACAGUCUGUCUGGGAGGAGAAGGAAGGAAUUUAUCUACCAGCUCCCAUCUCUCAUGGACCAAAUUCUUCCCCACUGUACAUAACUCCAUAUCACUUUCAGAUUGCAUAAGUUGUCUGCUGUUCUUUCGGGAGAGGGCUUGAAGGUUGAUUUUAGUUCCCUGUAACUGGAGGUGACAUGUGAAAGCUCAAAGCUAUUGAAAAGUUGCAAAGGCUUCCACACACAACUGCAGUAGGGAGGGCGCAGGAAGUGGGUCAACGCUUUUGGAGGACUGGGUGAAGUUCAGGAUCCUGAGGCCCUACUUUUUGGUCGCCCAGGGUGAGAGCUGAAUGUAGGCUCCAACAGGAAGACGGCAUUGAAGCCUGGUUGCUUGUUACUACUCAGAAUGCCAUCUACAAAAGGAAAUUAUGUAAAAAGCAAUAAAGAACCCCUUUUGUUCUUGCAGGAGUCAGUGUUUCAUAACUCUUUCUGUGAUAUCGUCUGUAUAAGUUGAACCUCUAAAGAACCUUAUCUAAGUUGCCACGACCUUACUCAUUACCCUCAAGAAAGAUGAACAAUUUAAAGGGGGAAAAAAGGAAGUGAAAAAAAUGGCGGAUACGAGGCAGAACUAACCUGCAGCUUCCACUCGAAGGGACAGAGCAGAGUGUGGAGACCCACAACUGGAACUUUUUCUCCAAGAACUACCACAGGAACAUACCAAGAAAGCCAAGAGAAUCCACAGAACCUUUGGAGGAAGUGGUUUGUCACUGCAGGCUCUGUGGGACAGCUGAGGAACUGCCAGCGUCCUCUUUCCUGUGUUGGUCACAUCCUCAAAUGCCUUUGGGGCUGGAUGAACAGUCGGCUUGUGGCUCAUUUCCCCAGACAAGACUCUGCUGCCUUGGACUUCUCUGGAACCUGUGUGGCUCCUCAAAUGAUGGCCAAAAUUCC
rnacentral:lncRNA from 1 species